AACAACCGCACUCCACAUCUAUGGCAACAGUCACAGUGGUGUAAACUGUGAUACCAAAAGAGGAAAUCUGCUGGAGGAUCCAAGAUACUCGCACAUGGACUUCUGCUGAUGUCAAGAACGUCGUCUAUGUGGGGAUUUCCAACAAUUCCUUGAAGAGUAGUUACAAAGAUGAGAGGGCCAAACUCUUCUCAGUUGUAACAGAGCACAUAGCAGGAUGUCAAGGGCAGCAGUCAAAAUGCAGCUUGGUAGGUUUUGUUUGGUAAAACAGACAAUUUUUUUUUUUUAUUGAAAGGAUGAAGAAAUGCUAGGAAAGACAGCACAGGGACUGUGGAAUCUCCAUCCCAGGAGAUUUUAAAGAUUUAGGGUAGACAAAGCCAUGGUUGACUUGAUCUGCUGCUGGUGACAGGCCUGCCUCAAGCAGGAGAUUGGAGUGAAAGAAAUCCCCUCCAACCUAUAUUUCUAUUUUGUCAUUUCAGUGGUUUUGUGGCAUUUUCUUCCUCCAGCAUCACAGCAGAUGCUAAGCAAAUCAA